rnacentral:rRNA from 1 species
UAUUGUUCUUCAACGAGGAAUCCCUAGUAAGCACAAGUCAUCAGCUUGUGCUGAUUACGUCCCUGCCCUUUGUACACACCGCCCGUCGCUACUACCGAUUGAAUGGCUUAGUGAGACCCUCGGAUUGACGUUCAUCGGCUGUAAAAGGCUUUUGUCUGUUGAAAAGUUGGUCAAACUUGGUCAUUUAGAGGAAGUAAAAGUCGUAACAAGGUUUCCGUAGGUGAACCUGCGGAAGGAUCAUUAUUGAAUCUAAGCAAGCCUGGCAUUUAUUUUGCAAGGCUCUGCACGUAUUUAAAACCCCACACUUUUGAAAAUAACAUAUAUCUUACUUGAAAAAAAGUAAUUAAAAGAUCACUUUCAACAACGGAUCUCUUGGUUCUCGCAUCGAUGAAGAACGUAGCGAAGUGCGAUAAGUAGUGUGAAUUGCAGAAUUCCGUGGAUCAUCGAAUUUUUGAACGCAAAUUGCACUCUCUGGUAUUCCGGAGAGUAUGCCUGUUUGAGGGUCAUCAAAUAAAAAAUCGAUUUGUUACUUUGGUAACGUUUCGGAAUUGGGUCAUCUUAAACCUUCAGGGUUCAAGAGGCUUAAAAUUGAUCGUUUUUGGUAUGAAUUAAGCGUAUUUAAGAUCCCUUAUCACGCGCUUGAUGAGUAUCGGAUGUUUAUUAGGCAUGACCAUGAUCAUGGUUUCGCGCCCAUAAUCUUUCAUGAAAUGACCUCAAAUCGGGUAGGAUUACCCGCUGAACUUAAGCAUAUCAAUAAGCGGAGGAAAAGAAAAUAACAAUGAUUCCCCUAGUAACGGCGAGCGAAGAGGGAAUAGCUCAAAUUUUAAAUCUGUUAGGUCUUACCUAACCGAGUUGUAAUUUGAAGAAGCGUUUUCUGCGUGUUUGAUUUAGCCCAAAUCCUUUGGGAUAAGGUAUCAUGGAGGGUGAGAAUCCCGUCCGGCCUAAUCAAAUGUGCAUUACGAUACGUUUUCUAAGAGUCGAGUUGUUUGGGAUUGCAGCUCAAAAUGGGAGGUAAAUUUCUCCUAAGGCUAAAUACCGGCGAGAGACCGAUAGCGAACAAGUACCGUGAGGGAAAGAUGAAAAGAACUUUGAAAAGAGAGUUAAAUAGUACGUGAAAUUGUUGAAAGGGAAACGAUUGAAGUCAGUCGUACCGGCGGGAAAUCAGCUUCUCGAGUGGGGGUUCGUGGGUGCGUUGAGCUUCGGCCUUCGUCGCUUGUGAUUCCUUUGCUUCUGGGGCGUACUUUUCCGUGUGGUAGGUCAACAUCGGUUUUGAUUACCAUAAAAUGACCGGAGGAAUGUGGCUUCGAUCUUGCAUUGGAGUGUUAUAGCCUCUGGUAGAUGUGGUGGUUGGGAUCGAGGAUUGCAACGAAUACCCUUUGGGCUAUCCGCCUGACCUCUGAAAGUCGCUUGGGUACCGAAAGCUUGCUUAUGGUCAUUCAAGUUGGCGGUCAAAAGGUUAGAACGUGAUUAAAUUCGUUAAGGAUGUUGACGUAAUGGCUUUAAACGACCCGUCUUGAAACACGGACCAAGGAGUCUAGCAUAUAUGCGAGUGUUA